rnacentral:rRNA from 1 species
CCUACGGGAGGCAGCAGUGGGGAAUAUUGCACAAUGGGGGAAACCCUGAUGCAGCGACGCCGCGUGAGUGAAGAAGUCCUUCGUUAUGUAAAGCUCUAUCAGCAGGGAAGAAAAUGACGGUACCUGAGUAAGACGCCCCGGCUAACUACGUGCCAGCAGCCGCGGUCAUACGUAGGGGGCAAGCGUUAUCCGGAUUUACUGGGUGUAAAGGGAGCGUAGACGGCAGUGCAAGUCUGGAGUGAAAGGCGGGGGCUCAACCCCCGGACUGCUCUGGAAACUGUACGGCUGGAGUGCAGGAGAGGUAAGGGGAAUUCCUGGUGUAGCGGUGAAAUGCGUAGAUAUUAGGAGGAACACCAGUGGCGAAGGCGGCUUACUGGACUGUAACUGACGUUGAGGCUCGAAAGCGUGGGGAGCAAACAGGAUUAGAUACCCGAGUAGUC